AGCUCGUGGUUAGGACAUUACACAAGCUUUUCAUUAAACCUUUCCCAAACUUCAUAUUAAGACUCUCUAUUGAGUUGGAGAAAAUUAAUGAUUUCAUCCCCUAAUU
rfam:Capsicum annuum cultivar Zunla-1 chromosome 4, whole genome shotgun sequence